rnacentral:sRNA from 1 species
GUGUUGCCGUUUUGUUGUAUUAACGUUGGCACUGUCUUUUUCUGCAGAGAUGGACAGAGACGUAUGUGCGUUGGUCUCCUAAGGGCACCUACCUGGCUACCUUUCAUCAAAGAGGCAUUGCUCUAUGGGGGGGAGAGAAAUUCAAGCAAAUUCAGAGAUUCAGCCACCAAGGGGUUCAGCUCAUUGACUUCUCACCUUGUGAAAGGUACCUGGUGACCUUUAGCCCCCUGAUGGACACGCAGGAUGACCCUCAGGCCAUAAUCAUCUGGGACAUCCUUACGGGGCACAAGAAGAGGGGUUUUCACUGUGAGAGCUCAGCCCAUUGGCCUAUUUUUAAGUAAGUGGACCAUUGUAAUGAGCUCUGUAGCCUUUGUCUUUUCUUGGGAAUACCCUGGCACUUCUGUUUCUUCUUAGGUGGAGCCAUGAUGGCAAAUUCUUUGCCAGAAUGACCCUGGAUACGCUUAGCAUCUAUGAAACUCCUGUAAGUGGCCUCAGUGAUGGAAAACGCCCCAUCCGGUCCUUGCUUGUAACCGGGGUGUGGUGCCUUUCCUUGUGCUAGAAGGUUUCACAGAUGCGUAGGAAAGGCCUGUCUCCUGCGCCUUUUUAACUGCCCCUGCU